rnacentral:rRNA from 1 species
UACAGAGGAGCCAAGCGUUGUCCGGAUUGACUGGGCGUAAAGCGCACGCAGGCGGGGGUGCGCGUGGGGUGGGAAAUCUGGCCGCUUAACGGCCAGGCGCCAUCCCAUACGGCACGCCUGGAGCCUUGCAGAGGUCGGUGGAAUUGCCGGUGUAGUGGUGAAAUGCGUAGAGAUCGGCAGGAACACCCAGGGGGAAACCAGCCGACUGGGCAAGUGCUGACGCUGAGGCGCGACAGCGUGGGGAGCAAACAGG